rnacentral:lncRNA from 1 species
GGACAUCACAACAGCUUGGAAGAAAGCUUCCUUUCGUUUUCAGUGGUCCCUUCGUAUUUAUCCUGAACAUAAAGUCAUUAUGAGGGGGUGCAUGUCUCAUCUAUUUUGUGCAUUCCUUUGUCCCUUCAAGUUAAGUGUUAUUAAAGGCCAUGAACAUCCUUACUCCUGAGUUAAGCCUCCCUGAGCACACUGAGGGCAUCCUGUGAGCCGAGCUGGCUACCUGGCUGAUGGCCAGCCAACGCAGGUGGGUGGGUCCCUGCUGCCAGGUGAGGGGGGAGCUGUUGCUCCCCAGGGGAGGCUCAUCUGAAGACCCUGUCAUUUACCUGUUGUGCAUGGUGCUUCCGGUCAAUACUGGUCAACUUCUCUAGGUCACUUGGACCUUAUCUGCUCAACUGAGACCUGUGUUUUUCUAGCUGGAGGAGUAGGAGCUGCCUGUGGCAGUGAGUUAAGAAGACAGAUUUCCAGGACCUCAUGACAAGGUGGACACAGGUACUCCCCCAGUGACUGUGACAUCAGCAAGGCCCACAUUUUCAACAGUUGCCCCUCUGUUUGGUGGGCCCCCAGGCCCCCCAGGCUGGCUGGCUCCCCGCGACUCCUACUGCCUAAAACUAUCAUCCUGCUGUACUCAGAGUGGCCAGUCUUUCACCAGCCUCGAGUGUCACCUUUCCGUGGGACAUAGGCUUGUGUUCCCCAAAGCGAGGCCCACAUCUCUGCUCUCACUGCAACCUUCCAGUCGGCUCCUGUCGUUCUGCCUGCAGAUGCCAGCUAGUAAACAGAGGCAAAGAUUGAAUGGAAUCAGUGGCUGUGGGGUCUAAGCCAGCCUGCCACAUUGCAAGGAUGAAGGGGAGAAAGCUUGUAAGUACAGGGUUUCGGGGUGGGGAUGAAGAAUCACUUUAUCCAGACAAGCCCGACUCAGUGCUGGUAUGCAUCUUGUACCUGGUCUGGCCUGGGCACUGCAUGUGAGGCAGAGACUUGCACAUCCUUGCAGGUAUGACGAGUGGUGCCCUGGUUCCCCAAAUGGAAGUUUGACAGAUAAUUCCCACAAAAUGCC